CGUGCUGCAGGUGAAGGUGCAGCCAGUGAAAGCGAGCCGUCCGAUAGCGACGACACUUUCAGAUGCCUCUGCACUCGCUGCAGUCCAGUGGAACCCGAUGAACGCCGGUGCUGCAGUUCUGUUGAUCGGGUGUCGGCUGUCUGUGAGGGUGCCGGGGUCAAUUGUAUCACCGAUCACCCACUCUUCAAUGACAUUUGUCUGCGGAGGGAGCUCCUGGUUGUUUAUGCACCAGUGUUUUGCCGCGACGACCGUCGCAUGCGUGUUCUCGAGCCAUCUGACAAUAGACGUCUCCGAUACAGCGCGUAUUGCGCGUUCACAACAUGGAUUCAUGGAUACCUUGGGAUAAGAAACCGAAGGCAGAUU